GAGGUGGUGUCCUUCCUGGGCAAGCUGCUGUGCGCAGUCGCGGCGUUGAAGGCGGCUCUCUACCUGCUUCGCCGUGUCUGCCUCGCCAUGGCCUGGAAGUCGGGCGGCGCCAGCCACUCCGAGCUCAUCCACAAUCUCCGCAAAAAUGGAAUAAUCAAAUCAGAAAAAGUAUUUGAUGUAAUGUUGGCCACAGACCGUUGCCACUAUGCAAAAUGCAACCCUUAUAUGGAUUCUCCUCAGUCAAUAGGUUUUCAAGCAACAAUCAGUGCUCCACAUAUGCAUGCAUACGCCCUAGAACUUUUAUCUGAACAGUUGCAUGAAGGAGCCAAAGCCCUUGAUGUUGGAUCUGGAAGUGGAAUUCUUACGGCAUGCUUUGCACGAAUGGUUGGUCCCAAAGGGCGAGUUGUAGGAAUUGAUCAUAUUAAAGAACUAGUAGAUGACUCAAUAAAUAAUGUCAAAAAGGAUGAUCCUACAUUGCUGUCUUCAGGAAGAGUGAAACUGAUUGUGGGAGAUGGAAGAAUGGGACACACAGAAGAAGCUCCCUAUGAUGCUAUUCAUGUAGGAGCCGCAGCACCAGUUGUGCCCCAAGCACUUAUAGACCAAUUAAAACCUGGCGGAAGAUUGAUAUUACCAGUUGGUCCUGCAGGGGGAAACCAGAUGUUGGAACAGUAUGACAAACUAGAAGAUGGCAGUGUCAAAAUGAAGCCUCUGAUGGGAGUUAUAUAUGUGCCUUUAACAGAUAAGGAGAAGCAAUGGUCCAGGUUGUUUUUUUAAUUCAGCUGUGGCUUUAUACCUGGGCUCCAAACAUGAAUGUAUGUCCCCUCAAACAUGCCAUCAUAGAGCAUUUGCAAGUAAAAUAAACUCACAGGGAAUUUCUCUGAAGAGUGGUUCAAAGGCAAGAAAUUCUUCAAUAUACCACACAUAGAGCAGCAGGUACCUACUUAGAGGAUUAAAUUGCAGGGAUGAAUUGUAAAAGCUACAUCAUCUUGACCCAAACAUAGUGUUACAGUGGACUGCUCAUCUCCAGUUCUAAAAGCUUUUUGAAAACCAACAGCAUUGCAGCUUGUUUUGGACUUUGUUAUACUGUUAUCAGCAUGGAAAAGCGUGGUGUUUUGUUUUAUUUUAUUCUUUUAGAGGCUCAAGGCAAAUCUGGGAAAGAAAUGGUAGAAAGUUUAAAUAAAUGCAGGCAAGGUUUGGUUUUUUCUUAACAUGCCUUUAUUUUGCUUUCAUAUGUUCAAAGAAAUGGAUUUCUGCAAAAAUGCAGCCAGAGACCCACAAUUUGCAAACUCCUGUGUUUGAUUGGGGGGCGGGGGGUACUUGAACACUUACUUCAUCUCUGUGUUCCUUGGUAAAACAGCUUCUGUGCACCUUAUGACACUACAUAAACAAUAUCAGGUUUUCUGUGUUCAGAUGUCUGCUAGAUGCUACUAAAAAUGAACUUUCUUUUUAAAGCUUUUGGUGUGGUGUCAUAGACUAGCAUGUAGUAGAUACAAUCAGCUGCUUUAUUACCUUUAAAACCAGGCAUUUGUAUAUAUUAAACUUCAAGACAUCGGAGAUUACAGCUCUUAUAAAAACUGCUGUUCAGGUGGGACAUAACUAACAUAGCUUUUGCCUUCCUCCUAGAAUAAUUAAAGGAAACUUGAAGCUCAGUAUUGCUUUGUAGCUCACUGCUGGUGGGAUGUAUUUGAAUUUAAUAUAACAAAUGCUGUGUAAGCUAUGUCCUAAUCACUGAACAGUUUAUGCAGUGCUGCUUUGCCAAAUAAAGUUCAAAGCAAAAAAAGGGUUUUUGUGUGCUUUUUGUGUGGAAGAACAGGAUCGGUGUGUAUGUUAAAUAUAAUUGUGUGAGGUGCAGAUCUCUCUACUCCAGUAAAAUUAACAUCCAUAUUGGUUAAUUUGACACAAAAAUCUCUGCUGUAUUAAUUUUCUUAUUUUUUCCACUGACAGGCAAUCAUGGAAAAAUUCUGGGUUCAUUUUAGAAAGUGAACUGAACCUUUGAGCAGUAAUUCAUAGAUUCUGAAGAACUGAUGUUGGGGAGAAGCAUCGACCAAAUACACAUAUAGCUGUAAACAUAACAAACAUCCAUUUAAAAGAGUUGGGAAGUUGUAAGCCUUCUUCCACCCCAAACUUUGUGGUCUGUUUCUUUCUGAUAUUGUUAAUGUUUGGAAACCCCAAAAUAGUGUAAGAACUGUAUAGCUCUUGGACUGCUAAAGGGAAGUGUGGUGCUCUUUCAAUUUCUGGUCACUAGAGCCUGAAUGGUAAAAUUCCUGUGUACUACUGCGCUCCUUGCUCUUUUAAUUGUGAGUAGAGCUAAUAGCCAGAAAAAAAAUUUCUGCAAAAAUGGUUCAGUGAUCCUUGUUGCUUCAUCCUGCUUUUGACAGAACAGCAAUAUUUUGUGAUAAAAUUAAGCAGUGAAAGCAUGAAGGGAAUAAUUAAAGGUCUCUGUGAAAGGAGAAUGUCUGAAUGACCUUUAUGUGAAGGUCAAUUCCAUCCUUCUCCAAUGUCCAGUGUAUUUACUUAAAAUGUAUAACCUUAUUUAUUUAGACAUUUGUGAGGUUCAUAUGCCUCCUUAUAAUCUAAUUGAAGCCUGGGAGCACAUAUACAAAGGUUAAUCUUAUAAAAGAGAUUAAUAUUUCAUAUUAAGGAGUUGCUCAAUUUUCGUGUUUAUCCUAGAAAUCCUAGAAAAUCCACUUGCGUCCGACAUGUCAGAUUUAUAUGAACUCACAAACAACUGUGAAUCUAGUUCUUAGUGUUAAAGUGAAAUAUCUUAAAUGAUGCAUGCUAAUGUUAAGCCUUUUGAUCACUAUCAUUCUUCUUGAGUUCAGCUUUAUUUCCAUCUUUUCACUAAUCGGUUACAUGAAGAAUAAGAACUCAAAUGCAUCCAAAUUCUUGUCUCUAGACACUAAAGUGUGACAAAUUAGCCUAAGCUGGAAGAGGUGAUAGACCUGACAACAUGGUGGAUAUUUUCUUUGUAGAAGAAAUGCAUUUCAGGAGCUGUAAGACUUCUGGGACCAAGGCAUUGGGGUUGUUAUGCCUGUUCCACAGGAGGGCUCAAUGCUGAUCCUGCUGCUCAUGUAGUAGGAUCUUUCAUCUGAACUUGGGGUAGCACUGAGAAUCUAAAAGUAAGACCCCUCUGCAACGCAGCAAUGAUUUUGGAGUUAAAGAUUUGUUGGGAGGAAGAGGAGAAGAGUUGAAAUGCAGAGGAUUUGAAGAGUGUGAAUAAAUGCUGUGUGAACUAUCUGAAAUGCUACUUUGCCAAAUAAAACAAAGUGAGGAACCUG